rnacentral:rRNA from 1 species
GACGAACGCUGGCGGCGUGCUUAACACAUGCAAGUCGAGCGGUAAGGCCCUUUCGGGGGUACACGAGCGGCGAACGGGUGAGUAACACGUGGGUGACCUGCCCUCAGCUCUGGGAUAAGCCUGGGAAACUGGGUCUAAUACUGGAUAUGACUCCACGGUGCAUGUCGUGGGGUGGAAAGCCUUGUGCGGCUGAGGAUGGGGCCCGCGGCCUAUCAGCUUGUUGGUGGGGUGANGGCCUACCAAGGCGACGACGGGUAGCCGGCCUGAGAGGGCGACCGGCCACACUGGGACUGAGACACGGCCCAGACUCCUACGGGAGGCAGCAGGUGGGGAAUCUUGCGCAAUGGGCGAAAGCCUGACGCAGCGACGCCGCGUGAGGGAUGACGGCCU